rnacentral:rRNA from 1 species
CGAGAAAGCCCGCAAGGGUGAGUAAAGCGGCGCACGGGUGCGUAACACGUGGGUAAUCUGCCCUAGAGUCCGGAAUAACUCGCCGAAAGGCGUGCUAAUGCCGGAUGAGACCACGGGAGCCUCGGCUCCUGCGGGAAAAGGUGGCCUCUGUAUACAAGCUAUCGCUCUAGGAUGAGCCCGCGGCCCAUCAGCUCGUUGGCGGGGUAAUGACCCACCAAGGCUACGACGGGUAGCUGGUCUGAGAGGACGAUCAGCCACACUGGAACUGAGACACGGUCCAGACUCCUACGGGAGGCAGCAGUGGGGAAUCUUGCGCAAUGGGCGAAAGCCUGACGCAGCAACGCCGCGUGUGUGAUGAAGGUCUUCGGAUCGUAAAGCACUGUCGCGAGGGACG